CGUAUCCACCCACCAAAGUCAAAAUCUUUAGUUUUCAUCGUGCGUCUUCUUCGAUCUUCAGCUCUUCCAUGAUUCCAUGAUGGAAUGACUUUAUUUAGCAGAAAGUGAAGAUUUUCAAUCAUCGGAAACAGUUCGUUAGCAGGCGCAGCAUCAUAGCAGAAUUCCCAAAUCAAUUAGAUAUUUCUUCAUUAGAGAUUAAUGAAUCACAAGGGACACAAAGCUCACAAUCAUGCUGUAAUAGUUCAACUCAAAGUUCAUAAUGUUCUUCUACAUGUGAAGUCAAUGCUCCAAAGAGUAAUAAAGGUGUUCGAAAGAAACAAAAACCAAUAGCAGCAUGCUGGAAUCAUUCCAAAAAAUAUGUAGUUGAAGAUGGGGAGGAUAGGGCAAGAUGCAAUUAUUGUGACACGACUUACUGCAUGGAAACUGGGAGUUCUACAACCAGUCUGAAUAAUCAUUUGAAGGUAUGCUUAAAAAAACCUCGAAAGUGACCUCGAAAUAACAAUACUUCAGACUGACCACGAACGUGAAGCGACAAAACUUUCAACUUGGAAGUUUGAAGAAGAGGCUAUUAGAAAGGUGUUGAUUCACAUGAUAAUCGUGGAUGGGCUACCAUUUCGAAUUGUAGAGGGGAGAAGGGUUUAAGUCAUUUAUUUCUUUAACAUGCACAAGGUUUCAUCUCCCUUCUAGUUUUACAAUUAGGAGGGAUUGUCUUGAUUUAUUCAACUGCAUGAAGAAGUUAAUGAAGAAUGCUUUUGGAAAAGAUACAAGUAGAAUUUGUUUGACAACUGACACUUGGACUUCACUACAAAGGGUAUCUUGCAUGGUUCUACCGGCAGAUUGGAUAGAUGAUGAAUGGAUGUUGCAAAAGAUAAUCAUAAGCUUUUGUCCGAUAUAUGCUCAUAGAGGUGAAAGCAUAGGUCAAACUCUUGAAAAGUGCAUCCGAUAUUAGGGGAUUGAGAGGGUUUUCACUGUUACAGUUGAUAAUGCAUCUGCUAAUGGUGUUGGUAUUGAAUAUCUGAGAAAGAAAUUGAACCAUCGAAAUACUUGUGUUGCAAGUGGGAAAUAUAUGCAUAUGAGUUGUGUUGCACACAUUAUUAAUCUCAUCGUUCAAGAAGGUGUUAAGUAUGCUUAUGUGUCUGUUAAUCGAGUUAGAGCUGCUGUGAGAUACAUAAUGGCAUCACCAUCAAGAAGGAAAAAUUUCUAUGAUCAGGAGAACCGUGAGCCAUGAAGGUCAAUAAAAUAGUCUGACAUAAUUGUCCAUGUUUAUGGACUAACAUCAAUCAAAGGCGAGUUUGGCCAUGCAACAAUAUUUGUUGAAGAAACAAGUUGGUUUGGAACAAAAUUCUGAGUUGGAUAAAUAUUUAGUUGAGGAGGAAGAUGAAAGCAACUCGAGUUCAUUUGGUUUAUUAUUGUGGUGGAAAGUGAAUAGUCCAAGAUACCUUGUUCUUGCACAAAUAGCUCAAGAUGUUUUUUUAUUCAUAUAUCGACAGUUGCCACAGAAAGUGCAUUCAACACCGAUGGACGUGUUUUAGAUGGUUUUAGAAGUUCAUUAACUCCGACAAUGGUUGAAGCUUUGAUUUGCAUCAGGAUUGGCUUCGAAAAUCUAAGGAUCCCAUCAAUCUUGACGAGCAUGUUGUAGAACUUCAAGACAUG